rnacentral:tRNA from 1 species
GGGGUUGUGGCUCAGCCGUAGAGCGCUCACCUAGAUUGUGCGAGGCCCUGGGUUCGAUCCUCAGUACCACA